ACAACGAAGAGUUUGAUCCUGGCUCAGGAUGAACGCUAGCGACAGGCUUAACACAUGCAAGUCGAGGGGCAGCGGGGUGUAGCAAUACACCGCCGGCGACCGGCGCACGGGUGAGUAACGCGUAUGCAACUUGCCUAUCAGAGGGGGAUAACCCGGCGAAAGUCGGACUAAUACCGCAUGAAGCAGGGAUCCCGCAUGGGAAUAUUUGCUAAAGAUUCAUCGCUGAUAGAUAGGCAUGCGUUCCAUUAGGCAGUUGGCGGGGUAACGGCCCACCAAACCGACGAUGGAUAGGGGUUCUGAGAGGAAGGUCCCCCACAUUGGUACUGAGACACGGACCAAACUCCUACGGGAGGCAGCAGUGAGGAAUAUUGGUCAAUGGCCGAGAGGCUGAACCAGCCAAGUCGCGUGAGGGAUGAAGGUUCUAUGGAUCGUAAACCUCUUUUAUAAGGGAAUAAAGUGCGGGACGUGUCCCGUUUUGUAUGUACCUUAUGAAUAAGGAUCGGCUAACUCCGUGCCAGCAGCCGCGGUAAUACGGAGGAUCCGAGCGUUAUCCGGAUUUAUUGGGUUUAAAGGGUGCGUAGGCGGCCUUUUAAGUCAGCGGUGAAAGUCUGUGGCUCAACCAUAGAAUUGCCGUUGAAACUGGGGGGCUUGAGUAUGUUUGAGGCAGGCGGAAUGCGUGGUGUAGCGGUGAAAUGCAUAGAUAUCACGCAGAACCCCGAUUGCGAAGGCAGCCUGCCAAGCCAUUACUGACGCUGAUGCACGAAAGCGUGGGGAUCAAACAGGAUUAGAUACCCUGGUAGUCCACGCAGUAAACGAUGAUCACUAGCUGUUUGCGAUACACUGUAAGCGGCACAGCGAAAGCGUUAAGUGAUCCACCUGGGGAGUACGCCGGCAACGGUGAAACUCAAAGGAAUUGACGGGGGCCCGCACAAGCGGAGGAACAUGUGGUUUAAUUCGAUGAUACGCGAGGAACCUUACCCGGGUUUGAACGCAUUCGGACCGAGGUGGAAACACCUUUUCUAGCAAUAGCCGUUUGCGAGGUGCUGCAUGGUUGUCGUCAGCUCGUGCCGUGAGGUGUCGGCUUAAGUGCCAUAACGAGCGCAACCCUUGCCACUAGUUACUAACAGGUUAGGCUGAGGACUCUGGUGGGACUGCCAGCGUAAGCUGCGAGGAAGGCGGGGAUGACGUCAAAUCAGCACGGCCCUUACAUCCGGGGCGACACACGUGUUACAAUGGCGUGGACAAAGGGAGGCCACCUGGCGACAGGGAGCGAAUCCCCAAACCACGUCUCAGUUCGGAUCGGAGUCUGCAACCCGACUCCGUGAAGCUGGAUUCGCUAGUAAUCGCGCAUCAGCCAUGGCGCGGUGAAUACGUUCCCGGGCCUUGUACACACCGCCCGUCAAGCCAUGGGAGCCGGGGGUACCUGAAGUCCGUAACCGAAAGGAUCGGCCUAGGGUAAAACUGGUGACUGGGGCUAAGUCGUAACAAGGUAGCCGUACCGGAAGGUGCGGCUGGAACACCUCCUUU
rfam:Parabacteroides distasonis ATCC 8503, complete genome.